rnacentral:misc_RNA from 1 species
GAAAUGCGAAAAGCAAUGCGAAUUGCAGAAUUCCGCGAGUCAUCAGAUCUUCGAACGCACCUCGCGCCGAUCGGAUCUCCGAUUGGCAUGUUUGUUUCAGUGUGUUGUUAAGACUCACAAAUCUCAAUGUGAUUGACAGUGGCGUUUCCACUCAUGUGGUACAUCAAUGUCUCUCAUGAAAUAAGCGCUGUGCGAACCGCACUGAUGCAGUAGUCAGUCCUCGUGAUUGAUACUCAUUGGUCGGUAUCAAGCAACAGUGAAGUCUAACAUAUCAUCACAUACGCAUCUGAGGCAAGCAAGAUCACCCGCUGAACUUAA